ACGCUCGACACCUACGGGCGGCAGCAGUAGGGAAUCUUCCACAAUGGGCGCAAGCCUGAUGGAGCAACACCGCGUGAGUGAAGAAGGGUUUCGGCUCGUAAAGCUCUGUUGUUGGAGAAGAACGUGCGUGAGAGUAACUGUUCACGCAGUGACGGUAUCCAACCAGAAAGUCACGGCUAACUACGUGUCAGCAGCCGCGGUAAUCUGAGCGGGCUGGCAAGGC
rnacentral:rRNA from 1 species